GCCAGCGCCAACGAUGAGAAUAGCAAAAUCCCAAAUUUCCCCUCCCCAGCUGAGCAACUACCAAAGCACAAGCGAGCGAGCUCUCCCCUCCCCUCGCGACCGCCGCCCCACGCACCGGAAUCCGCAGAAGAUCCCGACCCCGCGAUGCAGACCCCGGCGAACCCCUCCGUUGACCUGCCGCUGGCGGCGCCGCCGCCUCCGGUGAAGGCACCGGCCCCGCGCCCCCCUACGCCGGCCUCCCUCCAGCCCGAGUCCCCCGGCUUCUUCUUCAGCGCGGCCGCGGCCGCCGCCCCCUUGGGCUCCUCCCACCGCCGCAUCGCCAUCGCCGUCGACCUCUCUGACGAGUCCGCCUACGCCGUGAGCUGGGCCGUCGCCAACUACCUCCGCCCCGGGGACGCCGUCAUCCUCCUCCACGUGCGCACCACCUCCGUCCUCUACGGUGCCGACUGGGGCGCCGUCGACGUCUCCUUCCCCCGCGCCAACGCUAACCCUAGCGGCGGCGCCGAUGAGGACGGCGACGAUGCCGAGGCCGCCGCACGCAGGAUAGAGGACGACUUAGACGCCUUCACCGCCUUCAAGGCCGACGACCUGGCCAGGCCGCUCAAGGACGCGGAGAUCCCCUACAAGGUCCACAUCGUCAAGGACCACGACAUGAAGGAGAGGCUCUGCCUCGAGGUCGAGAGGCUCGGGCUCAGCGCGGUCAUCAUGGGGAGCAAAGGGUUUGGCGCCUCACGGAGGACCAGCAAGGGGAGGCUCGGGAGCGUGAGCGACUACUGUGUGCACCACUGUGUUUGCCCGGUGGUGGUGGUGCGUUCCCCUGAUGACGGUGUGGCAGAGGGUGGGGAGGCCGGUGGUGUGCAGACCACGGCGGGUGCAGAGGAAGUGCUGAACCCUGUGCCGGAGGAGGAGGCUGAAUACCAUGAUGCUACUGAGGAGCACAAGGUUUUUUUAACUUCCUUGAUGAAUUAAGUCAAAUGUAGCUCCUCGUCUCCUUGUGGCUGCAGUCGCGAGGUACGCGGCACAAGCCUAGCUUCAAUGUCCUUAGUGUCCCUUGUUGACCAUUUAUAGUAUGUGAAUGGUGGCUUCCCUUGACGCCUACCUAGCAUCAUGAUCUUGUGCUACGUGUCAACAAAUCUAUUGAUUAAUUGUACUUUACAUGGACUUUAUUUAGGUAUUUGAUUUUUUCUAAGACUAUAUUUGAUACAAAUCCUUCUUUUUUCUAUUCUAACUCCAAUUUCAAUUAUAAUUAAUUUUAUUUUAUUUGGACUCUUUAUUUAGAUAUUUUGCUUCUUAGACAGUAUGGAAACCAUAGACAUACAUUAAUAUUUUUCAUAAUUUUUUUAAAAUUUAGAGCACAUUUGAAAGCAUUGACAAAUCGAGAUUAAAUCACUGUAUUAGAAAAAAGAGAAAAGAUAUUGUAUACGUGGGUCCUUACUCCUUUAGGCCCAAGCUGGCCCAAUCGGUACGCUAGCCCAUGCCACGACCGUGUCGUUUUCCUUCUGCUAUUGCGACGGGACGGUGCAUCGCACAUCCUCUUGUAUCGGCAACUCAACUCCUCUUUUACUCCCUCUCGGUCUCCUUCCUCUGCACAGAUUCACCACCCAAACCGCUCUCUCUCUCUCUCUCUCUCUCUAGGCUGAUGGAGCGUUGUUGCCAUGCUGCCCCUCCACCUGUGACCGCAUGAAAUUAAUGAAUUCAUCCGAACUCUCCAAUCGGUGGUCCUAACCGUGCUGAACUGAAGCAUCACACCAAUCAUGGCAUGUGGUGCCAUCAUUGCGAUUCCCCAUCAUCUGCCCGCGUAGCGCAGGCUCGGGGUACCAUCGCCUUAAAGCGCGCUAGUGGGCUUGCGUAGGCUGAUCUUCUCAAUCUGAGCCAUUGAAUCCUCCCGAUUCACCCUCGUUCUUCCACACGCCUCCUUCAAAUUAGUCUACAGCAAAGGCUAAUCUCGCUAAGCAGCGAUUACUGGCGGACAGCCCCUGACAUCGGCACUCCAUUUUGCCCAUCUCCCCAUGCUAUCACUGGUCCUGUGCCGAUCUUGGAGCCGCUGCAGAUAUGGUGGCCGCACCUCUCGGUCAAACCCCGUGCUACCUCUGUCAGAUAGGGACCUAAGGGUCGUGCCACCCGGUCACCGCGGUCUUCAAGUUCCUCACGGUCGUCACGAUUCAUCAUUGUCGAAGUCGUGUCGUGAAGGGGUCGGUGCCAUCCAGAUUUCAUGGGCGAGGAAACAGAGACCGGGGUGGUCCUCCCCUUCUUUCUUUGCUGCUUCUACUGCACCGCCUAACAAAUCUGUACCGACGGCUUUGUUUCCUUUUUAUUUUGUAGCCUGACUGCUUCUCGUGUUCUUGGGAUGCUAGGAUGGUGUCGUGACUUUGAUGGCUUAAAAUAAAUUAAAUAAGAAAAGAAUUAACAUGGUAAUUUCAUGACCAUGAGAGCGAAUGCGGAGGCUCCUUUUGCACCUCAAAUAUUAAGAUAAUAGAUAGAUAGGGAGAGUUAGCAAGGAUUAUGGGAUGCUUGAUUGGGUUGAUGUAUUGUGAAGUCCCGCUGGAUUCAGCAUGUAAAGAUUCUAGCAGUCAACCGUUGGCUGGUGGUUUCUACUGAGGACAUCUGGUGUUUGGUCAACUUUCAUUGCUCAUGCCUGUCAAUGCUUUUGCCUUGUUGUAUCUUCAGUUGCCUUCUUUCACGUAGCUUGUCUAACUGUUCACCUGCUUGGUGAAUAUUUGUGCAUUAGAACCUUUGUAUUUUCUUCGGAUCCACUGUUUCUGACGAAAGUUACAGUUUGACUACUUUUAGAACCAAGUGUAUCACCUCCGCAAUAUUUUUCGUUUGCUUUGCUUUAUUUUAAUUAAAAGUAACUUUGUGGUA